ensembl:snoRNA Gm23602 small nucleolar RNA SNORA17
ACACCUCUAGAGGUACUCUAGGUGUGGCUAUAAUGUCAAAAAAUGCAUCAGUAGGUAGCAGAGAGGAAAGAGGCUAGGUCAAUGCUCAGUGUUCUGACCUGUGGAAAUCUGAUUGACUAGUAGCCUAACACU